rnacentral:rRNA from 1 species
UUGCCAUAGAGUUUGAUCCUGGCUCAGAAUCAACGCUGGCGGCGUGCCUAACACAUGCAAGUCGAACGCGAAAGGGGCUUCGGCCCUGAGUAGAGAGGCGAACGGGUGAGUAACACGUGGGUGAUCUACCUCUGAGUGGGGGAUAACCUUCCGAAAGGAGGGCUAAAACCGCAUGACGUCCCGGGUUUGAAGACCUGGAUACCAAAGUCGGGGACCGCAAGGCCCGAUGCUUGGAGAGGAGCCCGCGCCUGAUUAGCUAGUUGGUGGGGUAAUGGCUCACCAAGGCGACGAUCAGUAGCCGGCCUGAGAGGGCGGACGGCCACACUGGGACUGAGACACGGCCCAGACUCCUACGGGAGGCAGCAGUGGGGAAUUGUUCGCAAUGGGCGCAAGCCUGACGACGCAACGCCGCGUGGAGGAUGAAGGUCUU